GAGAAUGUUUGCUAUCUUGGUGGAGCAGCCGCAGCCAAGCAAGUAACUUGUAAAAUGAGGAAUGCCAUCACCCCUCGAGUGUCCAUCCCACAUAACUUGGGGUUAGAGCACAAGCGUUCCCAGGAACUACUCACCUUACCAUCUUGGCCGUUUCAUUUGUCUUCCACCAGUUCUGGAAAGAGAAGGCCUAGAAGUUCAGAAAAAAAGUAGGAAAAGUGCUUUUGGAGAAAAUCACCUGUCUCCUCAGAACUGGUCUUACAAGUCUGUGAAGUAACACUAUGUGCCAGCCUAAUCACUCAUAUAUGACCUCAAGAGAACACCAAAUAAGCAUAUUUCCAGCAGGAAAUGACCAGUGCUUUGGUUAAGAAUGCACAUUAUACUGCAGUUCUUUGGGGAAUGAAGCCACCCUUGACUGAGGUAUUAUGCCAACUCUCACCCUGUGAAUCCACUGACUGGGGAACAUUGUUUAAGAAAAUCACAUGGCUGUGCCAACAAGCAAGGAGACACGGCACAGAAGACAGAGGCAGAAGCAGCUUUAUUGAAAAACAGAGCAUGAGUAGAACGACUUCAAAUCCCAUAUGGCACCACAGUGAGAAGUAACUUCCUCUGAGCUUCUUAGAGAAUCCAACAAUGUCCUGCUUCCUUGGGGAGCUGCAGCCAUGGGCACAUGGGAAUAGGGCUUCCACCAAGAGUCCCGUCAGUCACAGCAACAGGAGGUCUUCCUCAGACAACUUUGAUGAUAGUGGUUGUUAGCCAGAGCAAGCUAGAACCAGAAAGAAAAACUAUGAAGAUGCCACAGUGGGAGUCUGAGCACCUUGAGGCCUCCUGUUGGAAACUGGCAAACCUAACUGUGGGACACUUGGAUGCUGAGUUCUGGUAAACAUGCUGUCGGAGGCACGCCUCUAGGAUGGACCCCCAUGAUCCCCACCUCCUGGUAUCCGCGCCAUGAUGCAAUCUGCUUACAGCCUAAAUCAGGAUGAACCAUAUGACUCAUAGAACACUGCAGAAGGCAUGAUGUGUGACUUCAGAUGUGAAGUCAUAGAGGACAAGGACACAGCCACCUUCUUGGAUUUCUCACUCUGUGGAAGGGCAGUGACAUUCCAUGAGACAAGCAGUCCUGUGGUGAGGCCCAUGUCAAGAAGGCCUGAGAUCUCCCACCAUCAGCUACAGCCAAUUUGUCAGUCACGUGAGUAAACCACCUGGGACGUGAAUCCUCUCGACUUAACCACCUCUUCAGGUGGCCAGAGCCCUAGCCCAGGUCUGACUGCAACCUGAUGAGAAACCCUGAGUAGGAAGACCUGCUUGAGCUGCUCCCAAAUUAU
rnacentral:lncRNA from 10 species